GUCCAUACUGCACCGCGGUAUUGGUCGCGUGUACACGCACGCCGGGGUAUUGCGUUGCGCAAUUACGAAGUUUACAAACUGGUCCAGCAAUUAGGCGUACCGAGAUGAUUUGGUUGUUGUUCAUUCAACCGCACUGCCACACGUGCGAUCGGGCUUCGGGCAGUAUGAGUAUAGCAAAGGUGUUUUGAUAAUAGGCCAAAACUGCAACAAGCGCGCUUGUUUGGCCAGCUUUUUCAAGGCUAGCAACAAAAAAAGGCGUCACGCGCGUUUAUUGUUUUACACAUGUUUUUGAACGCAUACCUGAUACUCGCGAAUGAAAAUGCACUUGCUAAUGCAUAUUGAUGAUAGACCGCCGUAUGAAUCACGCCCGUGUACGAAGCGUUCAAUUCUCGCUACGCAGGCAUUUCGAUAUCCCAGGGCAGUGUGUCACAUGUGUUGGGUUCGGCGUUGCGUAUGCGCAAUAUAUUAAAAGGAGGCAACAGGCAACAGGGUCUUCUACUACUUCCUCGUAUUUUCCCCGUUCAUAAGCAAGGCUCGCUCAUCUUCAGUGGUCUUAUUUUAAGCAAACGGUACGGGAAAACUAACCAAAACAACAGCAACGCCCGGCGGAAUCGGAACGCUGGCAUGAAACUCGUACGCUUAAGCAGUUUGCCAUGAGCCGCCAUGAGUUCAAAGAACUCGCAGCACACCGUUGGCAUGGCACAAGGUUAGCUCCGCAGAGUUUUCGAUUCACAAGGCAGGCUCUGCGUAGCGGUAUGCAUGAUGGAAGCAGCAGAUUCAAAACAAAUCCACCACCUAUCAAACGUGGACCUGCUUCGCGUUAUCCACUCAAGGUCAUUUGAGGAUCAUCACGUUACAACGAAACUAAACUGCUGAAAACUAGAAUCACCAUUCGCCAGCAGAAAACGUGGAUACGCCAUUCUGACACGCAUGGGGAACUGUGCAACGUGCACAGUUGCACAAUAAGUCGGAACAGCACCGUAUGUUUCUUUCUUCUCGCGCUCUAGAGACUUACCGUACGGCGAACACUUUCGCUGCCAGACGCACCAGAAGUGCGGUGCGCGCUGAUAAAAGUACAACCACCUCGGACAGGUAGCGCUGCGGGACAGCAAGAUCACGACACAGAAACAGCAGAAUAAUAACCGAUUUUUCGUCCUGAACACCGUCGUAGUCCACCCAUAACAAAACACAGCUAAUCAAGCGAAUGUAAAUAAACACAAUGUUCAAUUA